rnacentral:rRNA from 1 species
GAUGAACGCUGGCGGCGUGCCUAAUACAUGCAAGUCGAGCGAACAGACGAGGAGCUUGCUCCUCUGACGUUAGCGGCGGACGGGUGAGUAACACGUGGAUAACCUACCUAUAAGACUGGGAUAACUUCGGGAAACCGGAGCUAAUACCGGAUAAUAUAUUGAACCGCAUGGUUCAAUAGUGAAAGACGGUUUUGCUGUCACUUAUAGAUGGAUCCGCGCCGCAUUAGCUAGUUGGUAAGGUAACGGCUUACCAAGGCGUCGAUGCGUAGCCGACCUGAGAGGGUGAUCGGCCACACUGGAACUGAGACACGGUCCAGACUCCUACGAGAGGCAGCAGUAGGGAAUCUUCCGCAAUGGGCGAAAGCCUGACGGAGCAACGCCGCGUGAGUGAUGAAGGUCUUCGGAUCGUAAAACUCUGUUAUUAGGGAAGAACAAAUGUGUAAGUAACUAUGCACGUCUUGACGGUACCUAAUCAGAAAGCCACGGCUAACUACGUG